ACAGAGGAGCCUGUUGGGCUACAGUCCAUGGGGUCGAAAAAGCAGGAUACGCCCGAGCGACCGAUGCACAAGUACUGAGGCUUGAACCCCCAGCCCCCAGAACUCACUGGCUGCUUUGAGACGAUGUAAAAUUGAAUAUUCCCCACGACACAGCGUCCUGAGCGAAAAGAAUGGGUUCCAAGCUGGUCCGCCUUACUUGUGGGCCUUCAGGAUUCUGUCCACAAUCUCAUCGCCCACCUUGUUCAGCACCGUCCGCCCAUCUGAGCAGCUAAUGAA